rnacentral:rRNA from 1 species
AACGAACGCUGGCGGCGUGCUUAACACAUGCAAGUCGAACGAGAAAGUUCCUUCGGGGACGAUUAGAGUGGCGCACGGGUGAGUAAUACAUAGGAACGUACCAUUCGGUGGGGAAUAACCACGGGAAACUGUGGCUAAUACCGCAUAAUAUCGCAAGAUUAAAGGGGGCCUCUGCAUAUGCUCUCGCCGAUUGAUCGGCCUAUGUCCCAUUAGCUUGUUGGUAGGGUAAUGGCCUACCAAGGCAGUGAUGGGUAGCUGGUCUGAGAGGAUGAUCAGCCACACUGGGACUGAGACACGGCCCAGACUCCUACGGGAGGCAGCAGUGGGGAAUCUUGCACAAUGGGCGAAAGCCUGAUGCAGCAACGCCGCGUGAGUGACGAAGGCCCUAGGGUCGUAAAGCUCUUUUCGCCAGGGAUGAUAAUGACAGUACCUGGUAAA